AUUGAACGCUGGCGGCAGGCCUAACACAUGCAAGUCGAACGGUAACAGGAAACAGCUUGCUGUUUCGCUGACGAGUGGCGGACGGGUGAGUAAUGUCUGGGAAACUGCCUGAUGGAGGGGGAUAACUACUGGAAACGGUAGCUAAUACCGCAUAACGUCGCAAGACCAAAGAGGGGGACCCUCGGGCCUCUUGCCAUCGGAUGUGCCCAGAUGGGAUUAGCUUGUUGGUGGGGUAACGGCUCACCAAGGCGACGAUCCCUAGCUGGUCUGAGAGGAUGACCAGCCACACUGGAACUGAGACACGGUCCAGACUCCUACGGGAGGCAGCAGUGGGGAAUAUUGCACAAUGGGCGCAAGCCUGAUGCAGCCAUGCCGCGUGUAUGAAGAAGGCCUUCGGGUUGUAAAGUACUUUCAGCGGGGAGGAAGGGAGUAAAGUUAAUACCUUUGCUCAUUGACGUUACCCGCAGAAGAAGCACCGGCUAACUCCGUGCCAGCAGCCGCGGUAAUACGGAGGGUGCAAGCGUUAAUCGGAAUUACUGAGCGUAAAGCGCACGCAGGCGGUUUGUUAAGUCAGAUGUGAAAUCCCCGGGCUCAACCUGGGAACUGCAUCUGAUACUGGCAAGCUUGAGUCUCGUAGAGGGGGGUAGAAUUCCAGGUGUAGCGGUGAAAUGCGUAGAGAUCUGGAGGAAUACCGGUGGCGAAGGCGGCCCCCUGGACGAAGACUGACGCUCAGGUGCGAAAGCGUGGGGAGCAAACAGGAUUAGAUACCCUGGUAGUCCACGCCGUAAACGAUGUCGACUUGGAGGUUGUGCCCUUGAGGCGUGGCUUCCGGAGCUAACGCGUUAAGUCGACCGCCUGGGGAGUACGGCCGCAAGGUUAAAACUCAAAUGAAUUGACGGGGGCCCGCACAAGCGGUGGAGCAUGUGGUUUAAUUCGAUGCAACGCGAAGAACCUUACCUGGUCUUGACAUCCACGGAAGUUUUCAGAGAUGAGAAUGUGCCUUCGGGAACCGUGAGACAGGUGCUGCAUGGCUGUCGUCAGCUCGUGUUGUGAAAUGUUGGGUUAAGUCCCGCAACGAGCGCAACCCUUAUCCUUUGUUGCCAGCGGUCCGGCCGGGAACUCAAAGGAGACUGCCAGUGAUAAACUGGAGGAAGGUGGGGAUGACGUCAAGUCAUCAUGGCCCUUACGACCAGGGCUACACACGUGCUACAAUGGCGCAUACAAAGAGAAGCGACCUCGCGAGAGCAAGCGGACCUCAUAAAGUGCGUCGUAGUCCGGAUUGGAGUCUGCAACUCGACUCCAUGAAGUCGGAAUCGCUAGUAAUCGUGGAUCAGAAUGCCACGGUGAAUACGUUCCCGGGCCU
rnacentral:rRNA from 1 species